rnacentral:rRNA from 1 species
UGGGGAAUUUUGGACAAUGGGCGAAAGCCUGAUCCAGCAAUGCCGCGUGUGUGAAGAAGGCCUUCGGGUUGUAAAGCACUUUUGUCCGGAAAGAAAUCCUUGGCUCUAAUACAGUCGGGGGAUGACGGUACCGGAAGAAUAAGCACCGGCUAACUACGUGCCAGCAGCCGCGGUAAUACGUAGGGUGCAAGCGUUAAUCGGAAUUACUGGGCGUAAAGCGUGCGCAGGCGGUUUGCUAAGACCGAUGUGAAAUCCCCGGGCUCAACCUGGGAACUGCAUUGGUGACUGGCAGGCUAGAGUAUGGCAGAGGGGGGUAGAAUUCCACGUGUAGCAGUGAAANUGCGUAGAGAUGUGGAGGAAUACCGAUGGCGAAGGCAGCCCCCUGGGCCAAUACUGACGCUCAUGCACGAAAGCGUGGGGAGCAAACAGGAUUCAGAUACCCUGGUAGUCCACGCCCUAAACGAUGUCAACUAGUUGUUGGGGAUUCAUUUCCUUAGUAACGUAGCUAACGCGUGAAGUUGACCGCCUGGGGAGUACGGUCGCAAGAUUAAAACUUAAAUGAAUUGACGGGGU